rnacentral:tRNA from 1 species
UCCCAUAUAGUUCAAUGGUAGAGCAACGGACUGUUAAUCCGUAGGUUACAGGUUCGAAUCCUGUUGUGGGAG